rnacentral:lncRNA from 1 species
ACAUGUUGUACAUUACGCUGCAAUAUAGCAUUACUAGUCUCACGAUCGUCUUACAGAACUUACUUUUAUCAUAUUAAAAUUCUUCCUAUCACAUAGUACACUUAUAGCACUCCUCAAUUUCAUCCAUCCUGCUUGGAUUCUAUGAGAAAUAUCUUCAUCUAAGAGACGUUCCUCUGGAACACAGUUUAGACAUUUGAGUUGAAUGCAGUUGGGCACUACUGUACCAUUUAAUUUAAAUUCAUUUUUCCACUUUUUACUUAAAUCAAACUCUCAGUGCAUGUAAUCUGCUGUCUUGCUUUUGC